UGCGGGGUGGAGCAGUUCGGUAGCUCGCUGGGCUCAUAACCCAGAGGUCGCAGGUUCAAAUCCUGCCCCCGCUA
rfam:Thermobispora bispora DSM 43833, complete genome.